AUUGAACGCUGGCGGCAGGCCUAACACAUGCAAGUCGAGCGAGCGGCGGACGGGUGAGUAAUGUCUGGGAAACUGCCUGCUGGAGGGGGAUAACAACAGGAAACGGUAGCUAAUACCGCAUACCAUCAGAUGUGCCCAGAUGGGUUUAGCUAGUAGUUGGGGUAAUGGCUCACCUAGGCGACGAUCCCUAGCUGGUCUGAGAGGAUGACCAGCCAAACUGGAACUGAGAGACGGUCCAUGCUCCUACGGGUGGCAGCAGUGGGGAAUAUUGCACAAUGGGCGCAAGCCUGAUGCAGCCAUGCCGCGUGUGUGAAGAAGGCCUUCGGGUUGUAAAGCACUUUCAGCGGGGCGGCGUUACCCGCAGAAGAAGCACCGGCUAACUCCGUGCCAGCAGCCGCGGUAAUAC
rnacentral:rRNA from 1 species